GAUGAACGCUGACAGAAUGCUUAACACAUGCAAGUCGAUUCGAUUUACCUUCGGGUAUUGAGGAUGGCGGACGGGUGAGUAACGCGUAAGGAACUUGCCUCUUGGUCUGGGACAACUGUUGGAAACGACAGCUAAUACCGGAUAUUAUGAGAUUCUCGCAUGGGAAACUUAUGAAAGCUAUAUGCGCCAAGAGAGAGCCUUGCGUUCCAUUAGCUAGUUGGUGGGGUAACGGCCCACCAAGGCGACGAUGGAUAGCCGGCCUGAGAGGGUGAACGGCCACAAGGGGACUGAGACACGGCCCUUACUCCUACGGGAGGCAGCAGUGGGGAAUAUUGGACAAUGGGCCACAAGCCUGAUCCAGCAAUUCUGUGUGCACGAUGAAGGUCUUCGGAUUGUAAAGUGCUUUCAGUUGGGAAGAAGAAAGUGACGGUACCAACAGAAGAAGCGACGGCUAAAUACGUGCCAGCAGCCGCGGUAAUACGUAUGUCGCAAGCGUUAUCCGGAUUUAUUGGGCGUAAAGCGCGUCUAGGCGGAAAAAUAAGUCUGAUGUUAAAAUGCGGGGCUCAACUCCGUAUUGCGUUGGAAACUGUUUUUCUAGAGUACUGGAGAGGUGGGCGGAACUACAAGUGUAGAGGUGAAAUUCGUAGAUAUUUGUAGGAAUGCCGAUGGAGAAGUCAGCUCACUGGACAGAUACUGACGCUAAAGCGCGAAAGCGUGGGGAGCAA
rnacentral:rRNA from 1 species